UCAGCCCACCAUUCUGCAGAGCCAGCAGAGGCAGGCAAAGCAGAGACAUCAGAAAGCUCAGGCUCUGCCCCAGCAGUACCAGAAGCCUCUGCUUCUCCCAAACAGCGACGUUCCAUCAUUCGUGACCGGGGACCUAUGUAUGAUGACCCCACCUUGCCUGAAGGUUGGACGCGAAAGCUUAAACAGAGGAAGUCUGGUCGCUCUGCUGGAAAGUAUGAUGUAUAUUUGAUCAAGUAAGUAAGAGCAAGUCUUGUGUCUACAGAACAGGGAAGGCCAGGUGGGUGGGAAGGCUAGGAUGCAAAAGCUUUAUUGCACUGAAAUGGCUUCCCAAAGAGGCUGGACAUCAUGCCUUGGUUAAAAUGCAGAAAUGUGUUGGUGUUGGGUUAAGUCUGGGUACCAACCAACAGAUUGGACCCAGCCCAAUGUUCACCAAGUACCAGGCCUCACCCGUUUGGUUUCAGUAUUGUGGAGAAGCAGGAAGUACAGAGAAGUGUGCUUGAAAGUGGGCAGGUCCUCUGUUUUCAGAUUCAGCUGCAUUGGCUUCUGAGCAAGCUGUAACAUGAUUUCUACUAUGCAUCUGACCUAGG
rnacentral:lncRNA from 1 species